rnacentral:lncRNA from 1 species
CUAAACCCUAGCAUCAAAGGAAUUCACUAGGUUCAACUAAAAUAUUUUCAGUGAAUUCCAAAUGGCUUUAAAAACUGUUCAUCAUUUCUGGAAAAAUGCUAGAACCAUAACCAGAGGUGUUGCACAUUUUUCCAUGACAUAUUUGGUCACUGAAUUAAAUCAUAUGUACUUUGCAUUUGGGCAUUUAAAUGCUAGUAAAUAUUUUAAAUGUCCAAAUAGUCCUAAACUGAAAUGUUCCAUGUUGGAUAUAUUCUAUACAGUGGGCAUGUGCAGUUUGGUGAUUUUUGAAAGUGCUUAGCUAUUUUUAAUAAAGCCCUAAAGUUGCAGAAGAAUUAGAAAACAGAAAUAAAAGAGAGAAGCAGAAACUGACCUGGCAGCCCACCAGCCAGCCCACCUUGCCGGCCCAGCCCAGCCACCGUCCAGCGAGCUGCUUGGCUCGCCAGGCAGGCAGCCAAGGUGCUCGACGUCGGCACCGCAGCGCGCCAUGCAGCUGCUUGCCGCCCUACCUCCUCCUCUCGCCGUUCUGCCGCCCUGGAUCGACCGACCGCUUCCCCCUCGAGCUCACAGACACACCCAUUCGCCCCCAGCUCCACCCCCUCGUGCUCCCCAGCCAUGGCCGACGCCAUCGCCGCUGCACUGCCGCCAUAGUCGUGCCCCCCGUCAUUUCCAAGCCGCGCCACCGUGUCCGGAAGCUCCGCCGCCCUCUACUCCUUCGAGCUAGCCGAGCCCCGAGCGCUCGCGUGCUCCGAAGCCGCCGCACCGACCUCAACCGAACCUCCAUCGUCGGAGAUCCCCUUCGCCGUCGCCGCCGUACCAGCUCGUCCCCGACCGCGCCGUCUGUUCCCUCAAGACCGCUGUGAGCUUAGCUAACUCCUCCCCCUUCUUUCUCUCGCUCUCGUGCACCACCGCGACCACACGAAGAUCACCCGCACGCACCGCCGCGCAUCUCUUCGCCGACGUGCUCCCGGCCAUCCUCCGGCCACCUCUCGGUGUCGAUCGCACUCACCACUACGCGUAGGGUCUAACCAUGCACUCCCCGCACCUCACCGCACACCCUAGCUUCGAGUUCGCAUCCACCCGAACUCCGGCGGCCGCCUAGGUCGUCGCCGGCGCCAACUCCGGCAACCCCGACCUCAACUAACUCCACCAAGAGCUGCGGUUUGUCCCCAGCUCCACCUAGAUGCCUUCCGCGACCCAUUUGGUGGCCGGAACGGCCAAAAUCACUUCCGCCGCCGCGUCGGGCUCGCCGGCGGCUAAACGCCGACGCAGCUGACUUUGACUUUGACCGCGGGUGGGCCCUGGUUGACUCUGUUGAGACAAUGACAGGUGGGGCCCAGCCCUGUUGACUAAACUGGCUUAGUUUUAAUUAAUUUUUAGCUAACUAAUUACACUGACACCCUGGACCCACAGUCAGGUUUGACCUGGACGACCCCGCUGACCUCCUGACGUCAUGCUGACGUAGUAAAUCCUUUUCUGGAUAAUUUUAUUCAGGAAAUUCCAGAAAUUGUUGCAAACUUCUAAAAUUCAUAUAAAAUCAACCGUAGCUCCAAAUCAAACAAAUUAUAUAUGAAAAAUGAUCAGAAAAAUCCAAUCUAUCCAUCUGUACCAUUUCCAUGCAUGUUAGAACAACUUUUGUUCACUGUUUAGGUCAAAUCAUAUAUAUGACAUUUAAAUAUCCACAUAUGGAGUUUGAAAUUGAAUCUUGGAUUCAAACCAACUUCAUUUAAUAUGGUUGCUAGUUGCAUUAGCUCAAUCAACAAGCAUAUUGCCAUGACAUUAUCAUGCAUCAUACUUGUUGCAUUGCAUUGAUUGUGUCCCUCUUUGUUUGCCGGUAAUUGUCCCCUCUCGAUAGACGUGGUUUCGACGAUGAGAUCGAUGACACCGAUGAAGAGUUAUAAUAUCUUCAGAAGUGCCAGGCAAGCAAAACCCCCUUGUUCAUUCCGAUACAAUCCGACUCUCUCGCUCCUGCUCUAUUUUACUGCAUUAGGACAACAACGAUUCAUCUGUUACUUGCUGCGGUAGCUAAACCCCUUUAUCCUUUGCAUGACCUGUCAUUCCACAGUAAAUAGAUGAAACCCACUAGCAUGAGUAGGAGUUGUUUGAGCCCUGUUGUGCCUACUCAUUCAUGCUUGUUUGUCAUGUCUGCUACUGCUUAGAGUUGAGUCGGGUCUGAUUCAUCGAGGAUGAAUCAGAGGUGUGUGAACAUGUCCUACUGUGUGUGAGCUAAGUGUGUGAACACGAUUUGGUAAAGGUAGCGGUGGGAGGCCAUGUAGGAGUACAUGGUGGGUUGUCUCAUUGAAGCCGUCCUUAGGAACUGAGUUCUGUGUUUGUGAUCCAUGAUUCAGCUACUACCAUGCAUUGGGCCCUGAAAUAUGACCCCGCUCGACUUCUUAUUCACCCUUGUCCUCUGUCCAGGAGUUGCAAGUAGUUUCUGGUGUUUGUAGUAUGCUGGAGGCCGUGCGCAGCGCUGACCGUAGGGGUGGGCUGUGAUGCGGUAGGCACGUGGCACGGUGUACCGGGCGCCCGUUUGGUGUCUCGGGAACCCUGCUCACAUCGUUUGGGGCUGUGAGCGAAACUUCGGCCGGAUCUCCUCAUGGAUGGAACCUGAAUAGGCGAUAAACCUGGACUAGGGACUUGAGUGUUUAGGUAGGUCGUGGUCUACACCCACGUCGGCUUUUGCUUGAAGUCUGCCGAGCACAUGUCGUGUGCAGACGCUAAGUGGUGGAAACAUGUAUGAAGAAGUACACCCCUGCAGGGUUAACAUCAUCUAUUCGAAUAGCCGUGUCCGCAGUAAAGGACUUCUGGGUUGCCUAUAACAGUUCAUAGACAAGUGAAAGUGGAUACUCUAAAAUACCCAAGAUAAGUGUGAGGGCUAUGGAUGGCGUUCUCGUAGGGAGACGGAGCGGAUCCAUAGUGGUGUAUUGAUAUGGUGAAUAUGUGGACUCGUGUGCGCCACCUCAAGAGUUACUUGCAGUCGUAGUUUAGGAUAGCCACCGAGUCAAAGCUGGCUUGCUGCAGUUAAACCCCACCAUCCCCUUGUUGAUAAUGAUGCAUAUGUAGCUAGUUCUGAUGUAAGUCUUGCUGGGUACAUUUGUACUCACAUUUGCCUAUUUUAUGUUUUUGCAGAGAGACUUCAGUCUCGCUAGUAGUUCCACGUGGACUUCGACGUUUAGCUUGUUACCUCAGCUACGAUCUUGUGCCCUCGGCAGGAUCUGGUAGAUAGUCAGGCUUCUAAGCCUUUUUCAUUUGUAGAUGUCUGUACUCAGACAUGUUAAGCUUCCGCUUGUGCUUUGAUUUGUAUGCUCUGAAUGUUGGAUCAUGAGACCCCUGUUUGUAAUAUCUCGCUCCUUGGAGCCUAUUGAAUAAAUACUUGAGUCGUAGAGUCAUGUUGUGAUGCCAUGUUGUAUUUGCACAUAUUGAGCAUAUUGUGUGUAUGUUAUUGAAAUGCUUGGUAUGUGUGGGAUCUGACUAUCUAGUUGUUUAUCCUUAGUUGCCUCUCUUACCGGGAAAUGUCUCCUAGUGCAUCCACUGAGCCAUGGUAGCUUGCUACUGCUCUGGAUCACUUAGGCUGGCCGGCAUGUGUCCUUCUUCGUUCCUGUGUCUGUCCCCUCGGGGAAAUGUCACGCGAUGAAUACCGGAGUCCUGUUAGCCCGCUACAGCCCGGUUCACCGGAGUCCUGCUAGCCUAGUGCUACAGCCUGGAUUCACUCGCUGAUGACCGACACGUUCGAUGCUGGGUCAUGGAUGCCUGUCCCUGUAAGUUUGUGCCACUUUGGGUUUAUGACUAGUCAUGUCAGCCCAGGCUCCUUAUCAUAUGGAUACUAGCGACACUAUCAUAUAUGUGUGCCAAAAGGCGCAAACGGUCCCGGGCAAAGGUAAGGUGACACCCGUGGGAAUACCGUGCGUGAGGCCGCAAAGUGAUAUGAGGUGUUACAUGCUAGAUCGAUGUGGCAUUGAGUCGGGGUCCUGACAGCUUUGGUAUCAGAGCCUGACUGCCUGUAGGAUUACCAAGCCAAACUGGUCGAAGUUGUGUCUAGAAAUGCUUUAGUUAUGUAAGGGAAUUGAUUGUGGAAUGGAACGUAAGGCUCUUUUUACUCCUUAUACCUCAUGGCCUUCUGAUCUGAGUCAUCCUCUUCUUUUCUACGGGGUUUAAGAACUAGGAUUCUCAUCUAUCUACUAGGAUGACGAGUUACUGUGUUAGAGACUUAUAGGAUUGAUAGUUUCAAGCCUCAGUUCAGCUUUUAUUACUUCUGUAUGUUCAUAACUGUUGAUCUCGAAACCUUGAUAUUGUGCUUCGGAGUGGCUAUGCCACCAUUUUUGUUGUAUUUCUCCAAACUUUUGAGCAUUUACAGCCGUUAUGUUGUCCGAGUCAUCCCAGGUUUCUAAAUAGUCUGAAGCAUUUGCAAAAUCCCUUCCUCCCAUUCCGAUGUCCCUUUGGGCCAGAUUAACCACACUAAUCGGUGAGUUGAGGUAUUCUAUUGCCUCGACAUAUAUGUUGGAAUUAUUAUUAUGACCCUAGGUGUCUUAGGGGAUCAUCUAGUAAUCUAGCCAUGAUUUGUAUCCCAGUGUGAUGAUUCUGGCCUUUAUUUCCGAAAGCAUCCCAUGAUGCAAUUUAGUUAGAGUUAGUAGGUAUUCUAAUCCUGGGUUUCUGAGCCCAAAAUUCACCCUACUUACUUCAUGUUGAUAGUGUUUGCUAGUUCCCUAGGAUAUUAGUAACCUUUGCAUUAGUCCUCGAGGUCUGUGGUAUACCGUUCUUCCAAUACCAUGAACCAUUAUGGCAGAAGUUCUUUGAACCAAAAGAUCACAAUAAGAAUGCUCUUGAUGAGUUCUUCAUUCUACAUUGUGAAUCUGCCAGUCCUACCUUCCCCGCAUGGGUUAUCCGGAAGAAAAAUGUUGAGCUUUGCUCGACAUACUAAUCUGUGCAUCCACAACUCAGAAAAUCGUAUGUCCUUUUGGGUUGUCCCUCUUUAGUUGUAUUCUGACCCCCGUCUAUCAUUUGAUAGUCAAGAUUAUGCAUGCGAUCGUUCAUCGAUACCUAUUACUCUUGUGGUCCGUCAAGCCAUUCUAUUCUGGAAUGACUAGGAGAAACAAACUCCAGAACCUGAUCCAUAUCUAGGAUUGGGUCAAAGCAGUUGUAUUCCACAGAUCAAAAUGCCAAUCCAGCUUUUGUUCUGUUCUACCUUGGAGUAUUAUUAUCUUUAUAUUAAGAAUAUCGUGAGAAUUGCACUACCUCUUAUGAAUUCUUGACGCAGUAAUACUUCUUGCCAUCAUUGUUCACUCCUCGGUUUUUCGUGUUAUUGUAACCGGAAUGCCGACAAGUGAAUCGUGGUGUGUGAAAUCAAUACUGCUAGCAACUCCGUCGCUUGGUAGUUAAAUGGACGAUAACCUCAUUCUUAGUGUGUUGAUUAUUGAAUCGUCACCCGAAGACUGAUUGUGCUACCUAGUCUCUAUUUCUGGUGCACUCUUCGAUCAAUGAGUUAGGAUUUUGUCAAACCCUUGCUCUAUUGAUCAUAUCGUCUUGCCCUGAAAAGCAAGAUUGUUCUCGAGCUUAGUAACAUAUCGGUGGUUCGUGAAUUUCCGAAUAUCUUCUCGGAGGUAUCACCAGGUUGUCACCUGACCGCUAUGUUGAGUUCGUGAUCAAGUUGGUUUCAUAUAAACCACCCCUUCUCCAAGAAUCUGUGUUGCAUACCCCUGAGCUGGUUGGUUAAGCUAAACAACAACUUGGAGAGUUGGAAGAUAAAAGCUUGUCCGACUUAGCUCAUGUUAAGGGAUAUCUUGUAUAUGUGUUGAAGAAAGAUGAUAUCCCCAUCGAUUGGUCCUCGUGAUCAGUUGUUGGAUCUAUUGCGUUGUCAAAACUUUGACUUGAGUAUGGGCUAUUGUCAAGUCAUAUCAGACCCAAUGAUGUGUGUAAUGUUGUCUUACCCGUGGUUGAACCCUCGGCCAUACACCAUUAUAUCCUUUGGUCUGACCAAUGCUAUCACUGUGUUCACCUAAUUAUGGAAUUCCAUUUAUAUGUGAACCAGGAUGAACUGUUGUUGAGCCCAUCAACAACAUCCUUAUCUUCUCCAUAAUCUUGUUGAACAUCAAGCUAGUACUGGGAACAUUUUAAAACAUUUGUUCAUGCUAGCUCAUGAAGCAUAUGUUCGGAUGUAAGAAGUGACUUCCUCUAGUUCAUGUGCAUUUGAUGCAAGUUGCCGCCGUGGAUUCGAGAAAGACAAUGUUGCUUCCUUUGGAAUCAUCCCAAAUCAUUCAUGCAUACGUGCGAAGUAUUCUGUGGUUCGAAGACUUGCAACCUUCAUUCUAUAUGUAUUCCUAGCACACCAAGCCACUGAUUGAUUUGUUCAAGGAGAAUAAGUUCCUUCUUAAGAGUAUACCUUAUGCAAGGACUUUGAUAUCCUCGAUGAUGGUUCCCCUCCUGAACUCGGUAGUGUUUUAUUAUAAGACUACUACUUGGUCAUGCUUGCAUGAGGCAGCGUGUCCACAUGUUUGUAGCAGAAGCAGCUCGUGUUUUGGAGCUUACUACCAUAGUUCAUUCCCCGAGAAUCUCGCAAUGUUAUCUCGUCGAUUUGUGUUGCAAACUUUCAUUUUUCUCUCUAGACUCGACGAGUCUGGAUUAUUCUGACACCAGCCAGAUCUGAAUCUCAGGCAGAUAUGAUGGUUGGAACUUUUCUAGGAUCUAUGAUGUAGGUCCCGACAGGGUUGAUGUUCUGGCCGACGCACCUAGUCGGAGGAUCUAUCACUAUAGUAUAUUGAUUGGGCAAUUUGUCCAUUUUCUCCAUGAGGAUUUCGUAGUAUUUACUCCAUAGUUAUUCCUUAUGGAUUCUUGUGCUCCCGAAGUAUGACCUUUACUUGAUGUUCUAGAUAUCAAACCAUAUCUAUGAAUGGGUUAUGCUAGCGCAUCAAAGAGAACAUUAGAAGCGGAGUGCUAAAUGUCUCUCGGUCGAUCAUCCAGAUUUUCUUUCCUUGGCCUCGCCAAGGUGAAAUCUGAGAAAGUGUUAUCUUUCCUUUGCAUCUGCACCCUCCACCGGUAUUCAUCAUUGUAGUACGUUGUGUUGCCAGGAUCCUUGACACGGAUAUUGGUAAAACCUUGAUGAAUAUGGAAAUGCUCAAGUUCUUGAGAGCACGCGCAAGCAAAAUCAUCCCUUGUGUUGUUUUCAACAAGGUAAUCCACAUCAUCCAUUCUAAUACGGGUAUGCCAUUCUACCAAACCCCUCCAAACGAUCGCUCGAGAAUUGCCUUAGGCUGGUAUAAAGAGUUUCGAUGAUCUCUGAAUCAAAGGUAAUUCUUUUUGCCACUUAAGGGAUAUUCUACGAGUCACCUUCCCUGAAGUGUCUCAAUAUGGUAUCAUGGCAACUCAAAUCUUCGCUACGUUGACAAUCGUCCACCACCCUCUUAGGUAUGGAAUUGUUGUCUACCUAGUGAACCUUCAACAUCUGUUCCACUCCAUCCUUUUGGAUGAAUGCUUCGUAUCUCAGCUCGAGAGAUGUUCUUACCUCUCACUCCAUGAGUUGAUCUUGAAUACUCGAUCUUCGAGGAGAUCGUUUUCUGGAGAGUCUCCUUCUGUCGUCAUCGUGUUGGAUGAAGACCUCGCAAGCAAAGACGUCAAGAUCGAUUGAGUCAACAGAUCAACACCCUCGAGAAGACAGCUGGAUCAUGAAGUUUGUGAUACUUAGUGUCCCCUUUGUCUUCUUACCUCGCGUCUUGAAUCUCGGGACGAGAUUCUUGUUUAGUGGGGGUGAGCUGUCACAUCCCUAGUUCUGACAAUGCCUAGGGCAUGCAUUAGAGUGUUGCAUCAUGUUUAAAUUUUAUGAAACUUGAAAUGGGGAUUGCCUAAACCCUAGCAUCAAAGGAAUUCACUAGGUUCAACUAAAAUAUUUUCAGUGAAUUCCAAAUGGCUUUAAAAAAUGUUCAUCAUUUCUGGAAAAAUGCUAGAACCAUAACCAGAGGUGUUGCACAUUUUUCCAUGACAUAUUUGGUCACUGAAUUAAAUCAUAUGUACUUUGCAUUUGGGCAUUUAAAUGCUAGUAAAUAUUUUAAAUGUCCAAAUAGUCCUAAACUGAAAUGUUCCAUGUUGGAUAUAUUCUAUACAGUGGGCAUGUGCAGUUUGGUGAUUUUUGAAAGUGCUUAGCUAUUUUUAAUAAAGCCCUAAAGUUGCAGAAGAAUUAGAAAACAGAAAUAAAAGAGAGAAGCAGAAACU